rnacentral:rRNA from 1 species
UACAGAGGUCCCGAGCGUUGUUCGGAUUCACUGGGCGUAAAGGGUGCGUAGGUGGUGAGGUAAGUCGGAUGUGAAAUCUCCGGGCUCAACCCGGAAAUGGCAUUGGAAACUACCUUGCUGGAGGAUUUGAGGGGGGAUUGGAAUACUUGGUGUAGCAGUGAAAUGCGUAGAUAUCUGGAGGAACACCGGUGGCGAAGGCGGCAUCCUGGACCGGCAUUGACGCUGAGGCGCGAAAGCCAGGGGAGCAAACGGG